GACGAACCGAGCGAACGUUGUUCGGAAUCACUGGGCUUAAAGGGUGCGUAGGCGGGCUGCCAAGUUUGGGGUGAAAUCCUCCGGCUCAACCGGGGAAGUGCCUCGAAUACUGGCGGUCUGGAGGGAGGUAGGGGCGUGCGGAACUAACGGUGGAGCGGUGAAAUGCGUUGAUAUCGUUAGGAACUCCGGUGGCGAAGGCGGCACGCUAGACCUUUCUGACGCUGAGGCACGAAAGCCAGGGGAGCGAACGGG
rnacentral:rRNA from 1 species